UACGUAGGGGGCAAGCGUUGUCCGGAAUCAUUGGGCGUAAAGAGCGUGUAGGCGGCCCGAUAAGUCCGCCGUGAAAGUCCAGGGCUCAACCCUGGGAUGCCGGUGGAAACUGUCGGGCUAGAGUCCGGAAGAGGCGAGUGGAAUUCCUGGUGUAGCGGUGAAAUGCGCAGAUAUCAGGAGGAACACCAAUGGCGAAGGCGGCGCUCUGGGCCGGAACUGACACUGAGGAGCGAAAGCGUGGGUAGCAAACAGG
rnacentral:rRNA from 1 species